GUGCCAGCCGCCGCGGUAAGACGGAGGGUGCUAGCGUUGUUCGGAUUUACUGGGCGUAAAGGGCGCGUAGGCGGCCUUCUCAGUCGGGUGUGAAAGCCCGGGGCUCAACCCCGGAACGGCACCCGAGACGGGUUGGCUGGAGACCGGGAGAGGAGGGUGGAAUAGCCAGUGUAGAGGUGAAAUUCGUAGAUAUUGGCUGGAACACCGGUGGCGAAAGCGGCUCUCUGGCCCGGUUCUGACGCUGAGGCGCGAAAGCGUGGGGAGCAAACAGGAUUAGAAACCCCCGUAGUCC
rnacentral:rRNA from 1 species